GCAUCGAUGAAGAACGCAGCAAAAUGCGAUAAGUAAUGUGAAUUGCAGAAUUCAGUGAAUCAUCGAAUCUUUGAACGCACAUUGCGCCCGCCAGUAUUCUGGCGGGCAUGCCUGUUCGAGCGUCAUUUCAACCCUCAAGCACAGCUUGGUGUUGGGACUCGCGUUAAUUCGCGUUCCCCAAAUUGAUUGGCGGUCACGUCGAGCUUCCAUAGCGUAGUAGUAAAACCCUCGUUACUGGUAAUCGUCGCGGCCACGCCGUUAAACCCCAACUUCUGAAUGUUGACCUCGGAUCAGGUAGGAAUACCCGCUGAACUUAAGCAUAUCAAUAAGCGGAGGA
rnacentral:misc_RNA from 1 species